UACGAACGCUGGCGGCAGGCCUAACACAUGCAAGUCGAGCGCCCCGUAAGGGGAGCGGCGGACGGGUGAGUAACGCGUGGGAACGUACCCUUUUCUGAGGAAUAGCCCAGGGAAAAUUGGAUUAAUACCGCAUACGCCCUUCGGGGGAAAGAUUGUACGGAGAAGGAUCGGCCCGCGUUGGAUUAGGUAGUUGGUGGGGUAAUGGCCGACCAAUCCGACGAACCAUAGCUGGUUUGAGAGGAUGAUCAGCCACACUGGGACUGAGACACGGCCCAGAGUCCUACGGGAGGCAGCAGUGGGGAAUCUUCGGCAAUGGGCGCAAGCCUGACCGAGCCAUGCCGCGUGAGCGAUGAAGGCCUUAGGGUUGUAAAGCUCUUUCGCCAGGGAUGAUAAUGACAAUACCUGGUAAAGAAACCCCGGCUAACUCCGUGCCAGCAGCCGCCGCCGUAA
rnacentral:rRNA from 1 species